rnacentral:lncRNA from 1 species
AAAAUGUGUAAAUUUAUGUGUUUAAAUUGAUACGACUAGGAUCUUCAAAUUGAUAAAGUAAAAGGAUGGAAUUUUUAGAUUUUAAAGUAUGAGGGCUAACUCUUAAAGUCGAUAGAAGUACAUGGAAUAAUAACAUAUUUUAUCCAUAUUUUAAAAAGAAUCAUAAAUAUUUUAUAUAUUAAUUUAUAAAUGGUAAUGCUAGAUAAAAAUAAGGUAUACAUAAGUAUAUAAAAGGCAAGUG